UACGAAGGGGGCUAGCGUUGCUCGGAAUGACUGGGCGUAAAGGGCGCGUAGGCGGAUUGUACAGUCAGGCGUGAAAUUCCCGGGCUCAACCUGGGGGCUGCGCUUGAGACGUGCGAUCUUGAGUGGGGAAGAGGGUCGUGGAAUUCCCAGUGUAGAGGUGAAAUUCGUAGAUAUUGGGAAGAACACCGGUGGCGAAGGCGGCGAUCUGGGUCGAUACUGACGCUGAGGUGCGAAAGCGUGGGGAGCAAACAGG
rnacentral:rRNA from 1 species